rnacentral:rRNA from 1 species
GACUCUGCGCCGAAAAUGUAACGGGGCUAAACACACCACCGAAGCUAUGGCUUGAUGCUUUGCAUCAGGGGUAGGGGAGCGUUGUAUGCGGGUUGAAGGUUGACCGGAAGGACAGCUGGACUUCAUACAAGUGAGAAUGCCGGUAUGAGUAACGAAAAGAUCAGUGAGAAUCUGAUCCGCCGAAAGCCUAAGGGUUCCUGAGGAAGGUUCGUCCGCUCAGGGUAAGUCGGGACCUAAGGCGAGGCCGAAAGGCGUAGUCGAAGGACAACAGGUUGAAAUUCCUGUACCACCGUAAUCCGUUAUGAGCGAUGGGGUGACGCAGUAGGGUAGUGACGCGAGCUGAUGGAUGCUCGUCCAAGCAGUGAGGCUGGUGUGUAGGCAAAUCCGCACACCGUAAGGCUGGGCUGUGAUGGGGAGGGAAAAUUUACAGUACCGAAGGUCAUGAUCUCACACUGCCAAGAAAAGCCUCUAGCCAGGAGAAGGUGCCCGUACCGCAAACCGACACAGGUAGGCGAGAAGAGAAUUCUAAGGCGCGCGGAAGAACUCUCGUUAAGGAACUCGGCAAAAUGACCCCGUAACUUCGGGAGAAGGGGU